AACACAUGCAAGUCGAGCGGUAGCACAGGGGAGCUUGCAUCCUGGGUGACGAGCGGCGGACGGGUGAGUAAUGUCUGGGAAACUGCCUGAUGGAGGGGGAUAACUACUGGAAACGGUAGCUAAUACCGCAUAACGUCGCAAGACCAAAGAGGGGGACCUUCGGGCCUCUUGCCAUCAGAUGUGCCCAGAUGGGAUUAGCUAGUAGGUGGGGUAAUGGCUCACCUAGGCGACGAUCCCUAGCUGGUCUGAGAGGAUGACCAGCCACACUGGAACUGAGACACGGUCCAGACUNUUACGGGAGGCAGCAGUGGGGAAUAUUGCACAAUGGGCGCAAGCCUGAUGCAGCCAUGCCGCGUGUGUUAAGAAGGCCUUCGGGUUGUAAAGCGCUUUCAGCGAGGAGGAAGGUGGUGAACUUAAUACGUUCAUCAAUUGACGUUACUCGCAGAAGAAGCACCGGCUAACUCCGUGCCAGCAGCCGCGGUAAUACGGAGGGUGCAAGCGUUAAUCGGGAUUACUGGGCGUAAAGCGCACGCAGGCGGUUUGUUAAGUCAGAUGUGAAAUCCCCGGGCUCAACCUGGGAACUGCAUUUGAAACUGGCAAGCUAGAGUCUCGUAGAGGGGGGGUAGAAUUCCAGGUGUAGCGGUGAAAUGCGUAGAGAUCUGGAGGAAUACCGGUGGCGAAGGCGGCCCCCUGGACGAAGACUGACGCUCAGGUGCGAAAACGUGGGGAGCAAACAGGGUUAG
rnacentral:rRNA from 1 species